rnacentral:misc_RNA from 1 species
CACCCCUCAAGCUCUGCUUGGUCUUGGGCCGCGCCGGCAACGGCGGGCCUCGAAAACAGUGGCGACGCCAUCGUGCUCUCAGCGUAGUAAUUCUUCUCGCUGUUGGGUCCCGGUGGCCGUCCGCCAGCAACCCCUAACUUUCUAA